AGGUGAACCUGCGGAAGGAUCAUUACUGAGUGGCUGUAUUCGUGCUUCUCUUCGGAGACGCGAAGCU
rnacentral:rRNA from 1 species